GGGGGUGCACUGGUUUCGACGGGGAUCGUCGGGGGUAUGGUAAGCGAGCCGCGGACCCUGGCCGCGUAAAAACGGGGAACUUAAAAUUAACUGACAACAAUCAGUACGCUUUCGCUGCCUAAUGGCGGCGCGUCGACACUGAGCGCCUACGGCUCAGCCCACCGGCGUCAUUGAUGUAGGGAACGGGGCUGUGAGCGCUUCGGCACAGCCCGGCUCAAGAAGCUACUGAAAGCCUAAGCCCGGCAGGGGGCGUAGGCCGGAGGGAAUGUGAAAACUCUGCCUGCGCUCGGAGAAAACCAUGCAACUGAAUCUUCGGACAGGGGUUCGAUUCCCCUCACCUCCAUAC
rnacentral:tmRNA from 1 species